AUGUCAUAUGCCUCUGUUCCAUGCUUGCAAACAUGCUAUCAUAAGGUUGCUGUUUUACACUUGCUGAAAUUGUUUCAACAUUCAAUUUUGUCAUGUUGGUUCCUACUAAUCCAUGAGCCUUUUGUAUAUGAUGUCAUGAUGUUAUUUUCUCUUUGUUAUGUGUGCUUUGAUUCCAUUCCCUUGGUUGCUAUAUUUACUUAUUGUAGCUUGUCUCUUUCUUGCUCUCAAGUUGCCAUCAUAUUAACUCUGCUCAUGCGUAUGCUGCUGUGUUAUAAAGUUGCAUUUUUCAUUGAUCAUAUUGGUUUAAUCUUGAUGCCUAUGAACCUGAACCUUAAUGAUAUUUGA
rnacentral:rRNA from 1 species